rnacentral:rRNA from 1 species
UACGUAGGGUGCAAGCGUUGUCCGGAAUUAUUGGGUGUAAAGGGCUCGUAGGCGGUUCGUUGCGUCGGCUGUGAAAUCCCGAGGCUCAACCUCGGGUCUGCAGUCGAUCCGGGCGGACUGGAGUUCGGCAGGGGAGACUGGAGUUCCUGGUGUAGCGGUGAAAUGCGCAGAUAUCAGGAGGAACACCGGUGGCGAAGGCGGGUCUCUGGGCCGAUACUGACGCUGAGGAGCGAAAGCGUGGGGAGCGAACAGG